UUUGAGGAUUUGAUCCUGGUCCAGGACGAACGCUAGCGGCGUGCCUUAGGCAUGCAAGUGGGUCGGUCCGCAGGACCGAACUGUCAACUGUUAACAAAUUAACAAAUUGACUAAUUAAGAAUAUGAUAAGUUGUGAGAACUUUCAGGUUUCUGGAGUUUCAGGUAUAUAAAGACAGCAAAUCUUUUUACAAGAAAUGCAUAUUUAUAACAAAAAGUUUUACUAGAAACUAUUGGGAACUUAAAGACCAGCUUUUAAGAGCAGCACUUUCGGUUUGCCUUAAUAUCGCUGAAGGUUCAGCAAAGUAUUCUGACAGGGACUUCAAAAGAUUUUUAGAGAAUUCUUUGGGGUCAAUCAAUGAAUGUUUAGCCUGUCUGGAUAUUGCUAACGACAAUAAGCAAAUAUCAAAUAAGAACUUCGAGGAAUUAAAAUCUAAUGCUGAAUCCAUAGCAAAGCAACUUGGUGGUUUAGCUAAAAAACUUCGAAAUUCUUCUUAAUAGUUAAGUUGUUAAAUGUUAAUUUGUUGUAGGUUCUGUCCUGUGGACAGACGCGAACGGCUGAGUAACACGUAGGAACCUACCCAUUGGUUGGGAAUAGUCCACCGAAAGGUGGGGUAAUACCGAAUAAGUCCCGAGAGCAAUCGAGGGAGAAAGGGCAUAACUGCCCGCCGAUGGAGGGGCCUGCGGCCUAUCAGCUAGUUGGUGGGGUAACGGCCUACCAAGGCUACGACGGGUAGGGGGCGUGAGAGCGUGAUCCCCCAGAAUGGCACUGAGAUACGGGCCAUACACCUACGG
rnacentral:rRNA from 1 species